GGUGCCAAUGGGGUCGGGAAAUGGGGACAGGGUCUUAUGGGGUGGCAAUGGGGUCAGGAAAUGGGGCUUUAUGGGGUUCUAUGGGGUUUUAUGGGGUUCUAUGGGGCUUUAUGGGGUUUCUAUGGGAGUUCUAUGGGGCUUUAUGGGGUUUUAUGGGGUUCUGUGGGGUUUAUGGGGUUUUAUGGGGUUCUAUGAGGGCUCUGUGGGGUUUUAUGGGGUAUCUGUGGGGUUCUAUGGGGCUUUAUGGGCUUUCUAUGGGGCUCUGUGGGGGUUUUAUGGGGUUCCAUGGGGUUUUAUGGGGUUUUAUGGGAUCUGUGGGGCCAAAUCCCAUAACGGGGUGCCAAUGGGGUCGGGAAACGGGGACGAUGUGAUAUAGGGCCGCCCAUAGGGUGGAGAAAUAGGGUCGAUGAGAAAGUUUGGGGUUGGGAGGAGACGCGGUGCCACCUGUAGGGUCCCCAGGGACCCCCCCACCCCAAACCCUCCCCUUUUUCGGUCACGGCCCACGGCCCUAAAAGUGACGCCACAUCCUGUCCCUAUUUCUGACCCUAUAAGCAUGGCGGAGCUGCUGGCCCUGCUCUGCUUUAUGGGGUUUGGGGCGGUUUAUGGGGUCACCCUAAAAGCGACGGCAACCGGUUCGGCGCUGCUCCGCUGUGACUCCGCCCUCCGCGGUUCCCCCCCCUCGUUUCUCCCCCCGCGGUUACGUUGGACGCGAGGGGGCGUGGCCGGAGCUCCGCCCCUCCUCCUAUUGGCUGUCGGUCGGAGGGGCGGGGCUUUGGGGCUGGGAGAGGGCGGGGCUUUGUUGUUGCCCCGCCUCCGGCUCAGCCAAUCGGGGCCCUACGUUUGUCGGGUGGGCGGGGUCAGAAGCAGAGCGUUGGUCAACGUGGUGGGUGGAGGUGAGCGGGGGGGG
rnacentral:lncRNA from 1 species